UACCAGCACCCCGAGUGGUCGGGACGAUUAUUGGGCCUAAAGCAUCCGUAGCCGGUCAUGCAAGUCUUCUGUUAAAUCCAGCCGCUCAACGGUUGGGCUGCGGAGGAUACUACGUGGCUAGGAGGCGGGAGAGGCAAGCGGUACUCAGUGGGUAGGGGUAAAAUCCUUUGAUCCAUUGAAGACCACCAGUGGCGAAGGCGGCUUGCCAGAACGCGCUCGACGGUGAGGGAUGAAAGCUGGGGGAGCAAACCGG
rnacentral:rRNA from 1 species